rnacentral:rRNA from 1 species
UACGAAUGGGGCUAGCGUUGUUCGGAUUUACUGGGCGUAAAGCGCACGUAGGCGGAUCGAUCAGUCAGGGGUGAAAUCCCAGGGCUCAACCCUGGAACUGCCUUUGAUACUGUCGAUCUGGAGUAUGGAAGAGGUGAGUGGAAUUCCGAGUGUAGAGGUGAAAUUCGUAGAUAUUCGGAGGAACACCAGUGGCGAAGGCGGCUCACUGGUCCAUUACUGACGCUGAGGUGCGAAAGCGUGGGGAGCAAACAGG